CAGGCGUUGGUGGUAUUUCGAAUCUUUGACUUUUAAUCAAGUUGUCCGGGGUUCGAAUCCCCGCACGCUCA
rnacentral:tRNA from 1 species